rnacentral:rRNA from 1 species
GACGAACGCUGGCGGCGUGCCUAACACAUGCAAGUCGAGCGGGGACAGUAAGUAGCAAUACGAGCUGUUCUAGCGGCGGACGGGUGAGUAACGCGUGAGCAACCUGUCCUUAGCAGGGGGAUAACGAACCGAAAGGUUCACUAAUACCGCAUAAGACCACGGAGUCACAUGGCUUUGAGGUCAAAGGAGAAAUCCGGCUAAGGGUGGGCUCGCGUCUGAUUAGCUAGUUGGUGGGGUAACGGCCUACCAAGGCGACGAUCAGUAGCCGACCUGAGAGGGUGAUCGGCCACAUUGGAACUGAGACACGGUCCAAACUCCUACGGGAGGCAGCAGUGGGGAAUAUUGGGCAAUGGAGGAAACUCUGACCCAGCAACGCCGCGUGAAGGAAGAAGGUUUUCGGAUCGUAAACUUCUAUCCUUGGUGAAAAUAAUGAUGGUAGCCAAGAAGGAAGCCCCGGCUAACUACGUG